rnacentral:rRNA from 1 species
UACGUAGGGGGCGAGCGUUGUCCGGAUUUACUGGGCGUAAAGAGCGCGCAGGCGGUCGUUCAAGUCGCGUGUGAAAGCCCCCGGCUCAACUGGGGAGGGUCACGCGAUACUGAUCGACUCGAAGGCAGGAGAGGGUAGUGGAAUUCCCGGUGUAGUGGUGAAAUGCGUAGAUAUCGGGAGGACACCAGUGGCGAAGGCGACUACCUGGCCUGUUCUUGACGCUGAGGCGCGAAAGCUAGGGGAGCAAACGGG